rnacentral:rRNA from 1 species
AAUGAACGCUGGCGGCGUGCUUAACACAUGCAAGUCGCACGAGAACUCUCCAGCUUGCUGGAGACAGUAAAGUGGCGUACGGGUGAGUAACACGUGGGUAAUCUGCCUCUGAAUCGGGGAUAACGUUGCGAAAGCGACGCUAAUACCGGAUAAUAUCCUGAGAACCUCGGUUUUCGGGAUCAAAGGUGGCCUCUGCAUGCAAGCUACUGUUUGGCGAUGAGCCCGCGCACCUUUCGCUAGUUGGCAGGGUAACGGCCUACCAAGGCUUCGAUGGUUGGCUGGUCUGAGAGGAUGAUCAGCCACACUGGAACUGACACACGGUCCAGACUCCUACGGGAGGCAGCAGUGAGGAAUUUUGCGCAAUGGGGGAAACCCUGACGCAGCAACGCCGCGUGAGUGAUGAAGGCCUUCGGGUCGUAAAGCUCUGUCAAGUGGGAAGAAUCUGAUUUGCGUCAAUAUCGCAGAUCACUGACGGUACCACUGAAGGAAGCACCGGCUAACUCCGUGCCAGCAGCCGCCGUAAUAC